UACGAAGGGGGCUAGCGUUGCUCGGAAUCACUGGGCGUAAAGGGUGCGUAGGCGGGUCUUUGAAGUCAGGGGUGAAAUCCUGGAGCUCAACUCCAGAACUGCCUUUGAUACUGAAGAUCUUGAGUUCGGGAGAGGUGAGUGGAACUGCGAGUGUAGAGGUGAAAUUCGUAGAUAUUCGCAAGAACACCAGUGGCGAAGGCGGCUCACUGGCCCGAUACUGACGCUGAGGCACGAAAGCGUGGGGAGCAAACAGG
rnacentral:rRNA from 1 species